GUGUGCCACCAUGCCCAGCUACAUUUUUUUGGUAUAAUUUAGAUACUUAGUGAUUUUAUCUGGGAUGGAAGAGUUUAAUAAUAAAGUGAGGUUCCUAAUCCUGCACGGGUGAUGCAGGAACAACUGCAAAAAGAUGAAAAAGCCAAGACUCAUACCCAAGUGCGUCAGGCGACGUGGAAAGGGGUUUCCCCCAGCAGACAUAAAUUUAGGUAUCUUAAUGAGUUUGAUUAUAGUAACAUUAAAUUUUCUGUUAGUUUUUUCGCCUGCUUACAUUACUUACCUUGUCCAUUAGACUUGGCUCCAAAUGAGUUGCAGUUUCAAAGCAUCAGAUAAAUUCACAGAGGAGGAUUUAUUGCCAUAAGGAAGCUUCUGAAGAGGUUUCGAAAGGACUAUCAAGUUUUCACCAGUAGCAGGCAGUGGGUCUGGAAAAAGGAGGAGGAAGACUUUCAGAAGUUAAAAGAAAUACAGUUGACUGACUAAAUCUCCCUCUGCAAUAGAAUAAAGAGUCUUCGCUCUUAUCUUGGUUCAGAAUUGGCCAGCAGCCUCAGUGUGGGCACUUUAUAAAUAUUCAUUGAUGAAAAUGUCUCAGUGCAAAGGAAGCAUUCUGUCAUUUCAAGAACCCUUUUGAAAUGCCAGUGAUUGAAGCAGGGUCUCGACUACCCUUUGCAAAUCUUAACAAGAAAGGCCCAGUUCAGCUGGUCACAUGCACCGAAGUGGAAUGAGGGCACCGGAUUCAUCUCUCCUGGAGGCUGGGGCUGUGACGAUGCUUACAAAGAGCAGAGCGAACCGAAGCCGUGGGGAGGAUUUUUAAACAACCACUCCCAAAACAUCCAAGCAGUUGAGAUUCAGCAAUUCCACUUUGUGGAAAAAAAUGUCCUCAUUUCACUUUGUACUGGGUACGGAGGCUGUGCCUAUAAACAGAAAUUGUUAAAGUCGGAACAGGGCAUGGCAGUUCAUCUCGGUCAUCCUAAACCGUCCCAACCAAGAUGUGUCGGCUGAGUUGAGGAACAUCCAAAGAGAACAUGGAGAAACAAAUGCCCUGGUGUGUUGGCUGAUCAAGGUCUGCUUGUUUUGGCCCAGGCGCACCUGGCCUGAGCCCAUGUAAUCUUGAUAAACAAACAUGAAUGCGCCUCAGUCACCAUUACCCACGCAGCCUGUGUUGGUAAAGCUGGGUUAUGGCUGAAUCGAGCCAGGAUGGCUUGGAGACUUUCCCUCAGAGACCUGGGCUGUGUGCAGCUCCACAGAGACCUCUUUCUGGGAUCCAAGACACACUUUGCAUUUGCCAGUGGUUGACUCAGGCCGAGGCAGGGGUGGGACAGCCACUGCUUGGGUGUGGGCCUGGGCUAUCUUGGGCCUGGGCUAACUUAGGCCUGGGACAGAGCAGUCCUGUUUCCUCCCCCAGCCCCCUGCACCGCAGCCCUCACCCCUGCAGCACUAGCACCGCUGGUGAGUGGCUCAAACCUUUUUCAGCAGUGGAGGGGCUACUGGGGUAGUGCUUCCCUCCCUCCACGGGCCCUCCGCUCUUGUACUGUGCCUAGUCUCACACGCACACCUGGCUGAGCAGUCUUCACGUGGGGUCCCAGGCUUGUGGGUGAACUCUGAGGCUCCCACCAUGACCCGUGUCGUGGACUCUGCUCCCGGGAGAGUGGUGUGCUCCUCCGGGUUCAGGGCAGGACAUGGCCACAGCUUUGGCCCUCUGACCUCGGCCUCCCACACACACCUCUCGUUCCAGUGCCCUCCUCGCCGCCUGCCCCUUGCCCUCGCCGCAGCUCCCUUUCCUUCCUGCCUCAGGGACUGGCUGAGAACUAUGUGCGAGACAGACCUUUGCUGAGAUGUAGGCGUCCCCAUUCCCUCACAAGUGGGAAUGGCUGGGAAAGGAAAUGAGCGCAGGAAGUUUAGAAGCGUGAUGUCAUCCAAUCCCGCCUUCCUCCCUGUGAGGAAAGCCUUAUUAUUCCAGUAAGUGCCAGAAAGGCAUUGAGGUUAAGAGCUGAUGCUAACGCCUGACUUCAGGUCCAGCUUUCUUUUCUGUGCCUGUGGGUGUGCCUGCUAUGCCAGAAAGUGGGAGGUGAGCUACUAUGGGCGCUGAAUAGGUUAACACAGGCAGGGUUAGAUUACUGCCAUAUUGCUGACCAUUAUACCUUAGGGAUGAGAGAACGGAGUCCCCGCGUGGGGAAUCUGGACUCCUUGAGGUUCGCCUCAUCCCGCGCAGCUUUUCUCCGGUAUGGGAAAGUACCAUCCCUUCUCCAGGAAGGCCGUAUUCACUGCAUGGCCAGAGACCUCAGCAAGCUUGAGACCAAUGUGCAGGGAGGAUUUGGGGAAUUAUCUGAGUUGUCUUUGGGCCUCUGAAGUUCUGUCCUCUGAACUGAGGUUGUCCAGAUACUAGCAGUGGGCCCAGCUGUUUUGGAGAGCUGGUGGCUGAGGGCCGUGGACCUGGAACCUGGCUCCUCCCCAAGCCAGGCUGAGGCCACAUGGCCAGCACGGCCCUCUCUCCUCUCCUCAUACCUGUCCCUCCCCUGCGGUUUGGGUAGGACUGUGUGAAAACAGGAGGUGGAAUGUAAACCCAGGUCUGCUUGACUUCAAAGCUCAUGUUCCCUCCGGUCUUAUCUUGGUCACUUCCCCUGCAGCUGCGCAGGCCUCUGGGGCAGACAGACAAAGGUCACAAGGGUUGACACACUCGAGAUUUGGCCUUUGUAUGCAAGGAAGAGGAUAGGAAACUGAGACAAAGGCCAGUGCUGGGUACAGUCAUACCUAUACAUAGCUGAGUUAUCUGAUCACUCAAUUUGCAAAUCCGGUCAAUGGGGAGGUCACGUGCACUUACCUAACAUGCUACAAGGGACUCCCUUUGGCCCCAAAGCAGGAAAGUGUCCUCAGGUGUUCUCGGAACGUUUUCUGGAGCUCACGUGGUAGCCCAAAUCAAUACUUUCCUAAUUUGUGAUCUUGGGCAAAUCUCAUAACCUCUCUGAACCUCAAUUUCCUAACGUGUAAAGCAGGACAAAUAAUCCUUACCUCCCAAAGUUCUCUUGAUGAGGUGACGUAUGUUCAAAGGCCUGGCCCACAAGACAUGCUGCUGACUUGUGAGUUUCCCCAGACUGCAUAGGAACACAAGUGUGCUCUCAGGUAGCGCCAGCCCGGCAAGGGAAGAUCUGGAAGAAGGCUUCCUGCCCACUUGCUGAGCCUCUGACCUCACACUGGCGAAUGCGAGCCCCUGUGUCCCCUCACUGCACUGUGGCUGUCACGAGCCCUUCUCAGGAAACUGGCCCAGAGCCGCAUCUUGUUCAGCUGCCUCCGGGGCCUCAGCCUCUGUGCCUGACCACCUGCUCCUCCGCAUCGGGCUCGCAAGCUUUUCGAAACUGUUCCCACUGGUUUCAUGACGGCCAGACGACACUCGGCACCAAACGGACCAACUUCUUCAUUCUGCCACGGGUCCUCGAAGCCCAUGGUCCUGCCAGCCUAGGAGCGCAGAGGAUACAGGACCAGGGGCGGAGUACGAAGGGCAGCUGCCACCCUUCGUACCAGUUCCAAGGCUAGGAAGCAAAAUCUAAAAGGAAGCUCCUCUAAAGCUGGGUAUCAUGGGAUCAAAGAAGCAAAGUCUGGAGGAAUCUGCCAAGGGAGAAGGGCAAAGGAAGGUGGUUUCCAGUCAAAGGGCACGAGCGUCCGGUCAGGUAUUCACCGUGACUGCAGGAUGACUGUGACUGAUACUUUAUUCCACAGGUAUGCAGGGUGAAGACUUGCUCCUUUUUGCAGCACUUCCUCCGCACCCCGCAGACAGUUCCCAAAGCGUGAAGGGUUUGCAGCGGGUUUAUCUGAGGCCAAGCUGCUGCUCUCGCCUCCCCAGCAUGUGACCUCUUGGGCCUCAAGUUCCUCCUGCGAACCCUAGGACGAUUCCACCUCAGAGCUGUGGUGAGCAGUCAGUGAGGUCACGUCUGGGGAAGCUCCUCACCCAGAGGGAGCCCAGCAGCCGUGGGGCACUCUAAGUCAUUGCUGUCUCCAUAUUUGUAAAGAAAAGACCACUUUUUAAUCAAAGUGUUUGUGACCGAGAGGGAUUUGAGAAGGUCUCAAGCCUGCAGAGUAGUUGGGUGCUUUGAUUUCUUCCGUUUCUCCAUCCUGUCCCCAUUGUCUUAUGUGGCCUCUCUGGAAAAGCUGUAGCAAAGAACCACAGCGGGCCCCGCACCGGUCUAGAGCAGCAGCCAGCAGCUGGGCGGCAGGCGGGGGAAGGGCUGGCACGACAGCCUCGAGUUAGGGCCUCACUCUGCAGGCUUGCGGUUGUGAGCCAUUUCCCCCAUCAGAAAACACUGCAGACAAACUGGGCGUGGUAGUGCACAGCUGCGAUCUCAGCGCUCAGCAGGGUAAGGCAGGAGGAUUGUGAGUUCAAGGUCAUGCUGGACCGCAGAGUGAGGCUCUGUCCCAACAAGAAAAGAAAUUAACAUUGUAUCUUAUGACCGCACUAGUACAAAAAUAGAGUCCAGGCAGGGUGAAUGACUAUAUAUUCAUUGUUAUUAUUUUCAUUACAAAUUUAAGUUUUCCUGUGAUGUCAAUAGGCAUUUUACAGAAUGAAUUAUGAGGAGCAGUUUGGUCAGGAGGGGGCAGCACGAGGUCACCGUACACUCCCGGGAGCCGGGCGGAAGGGAGGGUGGAAAGAGGGCAACUCCACCUCUGACUCACAAAAGGCCUCUGCUUCUCACACUCAGUGAGUGUUGUGUUUGCUCCUCACAAGCGCAGGCCCAGGAAGCCAGUGGGUGGGGCAGGGUUUGUUGGCAAGGGCAGGGUAGGGAGGCUCGCCCCGGGGCGGUCUGUGUCCUGCAGGGUCACAAAGCGGCAGAAGGGAAACCCCCUGGAAUCCCCGGGCUUCUCCAGUGAUACUGCUCCCUCCGUACCUCAGACCCGCUGGGUGAUCCGAGUACCCAAGGACAGGGAUCCCAAGGCCAGGCAGCUAACCCCUGCCCCGCCUGACUCCUGAACCAUCGCUGGGGAACGGCAGCCCCGAGGGCCUCAGCGCACAGCUCUGCCAUCCGCGUCCAGACGGAAGGAGCACUGCGUUCCAGGCCUCCCUUGGGGCCAAGCACGCCUCUGCUCCCUCUCCCCGCAGCCACACGCAUGAGCCUGGCAGGUGGGAGACGUGCUUCCCCUCCCUUGGGAACCGAAUGAUCACUCAGAGGCGUACCAGAGGUGAACUCACAGCGCAGAGGGACGGAGAAGUGAGGGCUGCAUGGACUCUGCAUGCUCGCAUAAGGAAGUAUGGCAAAGCAGGAAAGACCAGCAACAAAAGCAAACAAAACACAAGGCAUGAAAUGAUCCGCUCAGGCAGGCAGUUUUCUACCUCCAGGGAGGAACACCCAGCGCGCUGCCUGGCAGUGUAGGGGCACUCCGGGAACAAUAGGCCUUUCUUCACCCGGCAGCUGAGCACACACCCAGGAGCAGAGCUCCUCUCGGGAAGGUGAAGUCCGAGCCUCAGCCCAGAGAGUGCGGGGCCGGCUGACAACACAGAUACUCGUGUUCACAUUCCUCCUGCAAAGGUAAACCCAUGUGAAAGACUCGAAUUUCCUUCUGAACAAGAAAUAAAAGGCUGUACAUUUUUCCAGGGAAAAUGUAAGAUGCCAGCUGACUCUGAAGUGACGUGGCAGGAGGCAACCUGGGGUGGUCUGUUCUUUUUUCAGAAGGAGUCAGUGAAGUUCCAGGAAUAAGCAGUUGUGGCCCAGUGGGCCAGGCCCAAGGCAGGGGGAAGGGCCGCCCCCAGAGGCCUGGGUGAUAAGGAGGGGUGGGCGGGGCCGCUGGGUGUUCCUGAUCAUGCUCCAGGGGCAGAGGUGACAGCCACCCCCGAGCAGCGUGUCCUCAGGACUGAGUAGGCGGAAUCCCUCCCAUGCACAUAGCGUGACCGGGUGCUGGUCUGGCUGGGCAGGCCAGACGGGGAGGAAGGACAGACCUGUCAUGUGCUUUUGGAGUAAGAGGCACAGUUCAGUUUCUGGUCGCCGCAACCUCACACCUGACCUCCACGGGACCGGACAGGACGGAGAAAGCUCAUCACGGCGCGUGGAGCUGACCCCAGCCACUGGUCUUUCUUAGUGAGGUUUUGGAGUGACAAAGGACAAAUGCCAUUUCCAGCCCGAAACAAGGAUUUUAAAAGCACAAGAAGCUGUCUUGACAAAGUCUUCUGAGUUACACAAAGGGGAUCAGCUCAGUAAUCCUCUUAACAACAAAGAAAUCCAGCCGCCUCGAUAGGAGGGGGGAUGGAAGUGUCGCAAGAUGCUUGAAAGAAGCACUGGCCAACGCUGCAAAAUCCUUCGGCAUGGAAAAGUCCAGAACAUGAACCACACAGAAAACCACCGUAGUUAUACUGCUUGGAAAGCCAACAAAGUUAAACUACAAGGCGUGGCUACCCUGACAUGUUUUAAUUUAGGAACUUUUUUCUCAACAUGGUUUUUAGAAGAUAUAAUAUUAGAAAGUGCCUGAGAUUUUUUCCAUUUAUUUACAGUCCUGGUGUGUUAUCUGUGAUUGAUUUGUUUAUUUUUUGGCUUGGCACUGUUGGAAGCGCCCUGUGACAUUUGACAGGACAGGACGGGGGCCAUGGCUCGGGCAACGCUGGAUUUUAUACAGUUGCUUUGGUCCUAACAAGUUAGGUACGGAGUCGGGGGGAGGUGGUGGUUAAAAAUUCACUUGUAUUCCAAAGAUUAGAGAAUUCACUUCUUUUAAAAACAAUAUGGACCAAAACCCUGUCUUCUUUGUUUCGAUACCGGGAAUUGAACUCAGGACCUUGUGCUUGCCAGGCAGAAGCUGUGCCACGGAGCCAUCUCCCCGGCCCUAAACCCUCUCUAAUGAGAAUAAUCACACCUCUGAUUGUUUUGGAAAUUAACUUUCUUGAAUUUUAAGUUUUCUUAAAAGGAAGGGACAUAACCCAAUGCAGUAAACAUUGUUCUCCAAGGAGGUACAGAAUCUCGAUGACCCAGGACCUUAGGACAAUUAUAUCUACCUCUUUGAAGUUCUUUCUUUUCACCUGUGAAGAUAAAUUGCAAGCAUGCGUGGAAUGAACAGCCGUGGAGCUGGGUGGUGUGAGAAGUAAAGCCCAGACUGGGCUCAGAGGCUAAAUUCUAGUUUGGGCUCGGUCCCUACCAGCCGUGUGACCUUGACAAGCUCUCUUACCUCGCUGAAACUUGCUUCCCUCAUUCAUAAUAUAAGAAAGGUGCACAAAGUGAUCUUUAAGUCCCUAUCAGUUCUGAUAUUUAGAAGCAACUUAUUGUUCGGAAGCAACUAUUGUAAAAAGUUGGUGGCGCUGACAUCAAUGCACGUGAUGAAGCAGUUCGGGCACCUGUGGCAUCUUGGCGCUGUAUUACACUUGAAAUUUGACCAUCGAGAAAACAGACAUGUAUGAUGAGCCCCUGUGUGCUUGUCUUCCAGCUGCAGCAGUAACCAACUCGUGGCCAGUCUUGUUUGGCCUACAUAGUAUCCACCUGUCCCCACACAAUUUCUUCAACAACCAAAUUAUUUUGUUGUUUUGUUUUGUUUUAAGACAGGGGCUUGCUGUAGAGUUCAGGCUGGCCUCGAA